UCAAAAAUAGUUUAAAAGUUAAAAAUUUUAAUUUUGGAGAUUAAAGAUAAAUAUAAUUUUUUUUGAA
rnacentral:tRNA from 1 species